rnacentral:lncRNA from 1 species
GUGAAACUAUGGAGAUAUUAAACAGAAUACAGAUUAUUGAAAGGUACAGAUUAAAGACAAUUCUAACAUGCUUAUUUUCCUUUAAGCUUAACUAUUCAUUCCUUAUAAUUUUGAUUCGCUAUGUAUUUGCAUUGAGGUAUCGCAGAUAUUAUUUAUUCGUUCAUAGUGUGUUAAUUUGUGUUUUUUUUUAUUGAGUUUAGCCUUACAAUUGAUACUUAACAGUGUGUUUAAAUUGUGAUGUUAUACUAUUAUCUAAGAAAAAGGAGAAGGUUUGGUACCAUUAAAAAGAUUUAUCCCGCUGCAAAUGUUUGCAUCUAUCCUAAGUCAGGAAUCUGAUGUACCGCAGUUGUCGUUUUUUUAUGUAAUAUACACGUGUCUCUCGUUUCUCGUUUUUUUAAUAGAUUAGACCAUUGGUUUGCCGUUUGACUGGUGUUACCCUAGUAUUUUUUGGGCCCUUUAUAUCUUGUUGUUUGGCAUGAUUCAAGGCUCUGUGUUGAAAGCCGUACCUUGACUUAUAAUGAUUUACUUAAAUAAACUGUUUUUUGGAUGGAGAAUUGUUUCAUUGGCACUCAUAUCACAUCUUCAUAUAUCUAGUUCAUUAAAAUGUAUAGCCGAUUAAAA